CGCCGUCGCCGUCGCCGUCGCCGCCACCGCCGCCACCGCUACCGAGGCCGAGCGGAGCCGUUAGCGCCGCGCUGCCGCCGCCUCCCGCCCGCCCUGGAGCAGAUCCGGGCCCGCCCGCCUGCGUCCAGAUUUUUGAAAAAUACAAUGUCUAAUGGUUAUGAAGACCACAUGGCCGAAGACUGCAGGGGUGACAUUGGGAGAACGAAUUUGAUCGUCAACUACCUCCCUCAGAACAUGACCCAGGAUGAGCUGCGCAGCCUAUUCAGCAGCAUCGGCGAAGUGGAAUCUGUAAAACUCAUUCGGGAUAAAGUAGCAGGACAUAGCUUAGGCUACGGCUUUGUGAACUACGUGACCGCAAAGGAUGCAGAGAGAGCAAUCAACACGCUGAACGGCUUGAGGUUCCAGUCAAAAACCAUUAAGGUGUCGUAUGCUCGCCCGAGCUCAGAGGUCAUCAAAGAUGCCAACUUGUACAUCAGCGGGCUCCCUCGGACCAUGACCCAGAAGGACGUAGAGGACAUGUUCUCUCGGGUUGGGCGGAUCAUCAACUCGCGAGUCCUCGUGGAUCAGACCACAGGUUUGUCCAGAGGGGUUGCGUUUAUCCGGUUUGACAAACGGUCGGAGGCAGAAGAGGCAAUUACCAGUUUCAAUGGUCAUAAACCCCCAGGUUCCUCUGAGCCCAUCACAGUGAAGUUUGCAGCCAACCCCAACCAGAACAAAAACGUGGCACUCCUCUCGCAGCUGUACCACUCGCCAGCGCGAUGGUUCGGAGGCCCGGUUCACCACCAGGCGCAGAUAUUCAGGCUCUUCCCCAUGGGCGUCGAUCACAUGAGCGGUCUCUCUGGCGUCAACGUGCCCGGAAACGCCUCCUCCAGCUGGUGCAUUUUCAUCUACAACCUGGGGCAGGACGCCGAUGAGGGGAUCCUCUGGCAGAUGUUUGGGCCCUUUGGCGCCGUCACCAAUGUGAAAGUGAUCCGCGACUUCAACACCAAUAAGUGCAAAGGGUUUGGCUUUGUGACCAUGACAAACUAUGAAGAAGCCGCGAUGGCCAUAGCCAGCCUGAACGGCUACUGCCUGGGGGACAAGAUCCUACAGGUUUCCUUCAAAACCAGCAAGUCCCACAAAUAACUCGCUCAUGCUUUUUUUUUUUGUACAGAAUAGAUAAUUAAGAGUGAAGGAGUUGAAACUUUUCUUGUUAGUGUACAACUUAUUUUGCGCCAAUUUUCACAAGUGUUUGUCUUUGUCUGAAUGAGAAGUGAGAAGGUUUUUAUACUCUGGGAUGCAGCCCACAUGUUCAAAUGUUUGAAAUCCCACAAUGUUAGACCAAUCUUAAGUUUCG